rnacentral:lncRNA from 1 species
AUGGACGAGGAGUUGAACCCAGUUUAUGGAGUAGUCUUGCAAAGUGAAGUCCUGUUCCACACUAACAGAAGCAACACCAAAAGCACUGCUGCAAGGAGCCGCCGGGAGCUCCAGGCUGAAGAGACCUGCCUCCCCUGGGAGACCUCUGCUAAAGGUGAAGACCUCCAAGCAGACCAGGCAGAUUUAGCAGGAGCUCAGGAAUUUUACAUCAAGAGCCCCCUGGAGCAUUACAGCCUACCAUUCAGAGCCUGGACAAGAGCUUGGCCUUGCACUUUUACAGAUCGCUGCCUGUAGCGGAGCACAAAGGGAGCGGCGAGACUCCCACGUCUUUCAGCGAGAAGAAAGGAGGCAGCGGAGCAGACUAACGCGGGCUUGCGUCUGGUGGCCUGGCGGUACAAAGGCUGCCUUUAAAAGAGAAGCGCAGCGUUAUUUAAUGAGCUGUGAGAUGAGGAGGCGCUGCUGCUAACGCUCAGAUCCCGGGAUUCAUCGGCUAUUCAUUGUGCUUAAUGUACAUGUUUCUACACCGUGCAUUUAGGAGAUCCCAGAGAAGAAUCCAAAACGGCUG